rnacentral:rRNA from 1 species
UACGUAGGGGGCAAGCGUUAUCCGGAUUUACUGGGUGUAAAGGGAGCGUAGACGGCGACGCAAGUCUGGAGUGAAAGCCCGGGGCCCAACCCCGGGACUGCUUUGGAAACUGUGUUGCUGGAGUGCAGGAGAGGUAAGUGGAAUUCCUAGUGUAGCGGUGAAAUGCGUAGAUAUUAGGAGGAACACCAGUGGCGAAGGCGGCUUACUGGACUGUAACUGACGUUGAGGCUCGAAAGCGUGGGGAGCAAACAGG